rnacentral:rRNA from 1 species
UCCAGCAGCCAUAUCACCCUUCAACUCACAACUGACAACCCACAGAAGCCUGGCAAGUACCUGGAUGGAAGACCUUUUGGGAAAACUAAGGCUGCUGCUGGAA